UUAAGCGACUAAGCGUACACGGUGGAUGCCCUGGCAGUCAGAGGCGAUGAAGGACGUGCUAAUCUGCGAAAAGCGUCGGUAAGGUGAUAUGAACCGUUAUAACCGGCGAUGUCCGAAUGGGGAAACCCAGUGCAAUUCGUUGCACUAUCGUUAACUGAAUACAUAGGUUAACGAGGCGAACCGGGGGAACUGAAACAUCUAAGUACCCCGAGGAAAAGAAAUCAACCGAGAUUCCCCCAGUAGCGGCGAGCGAACGGGGAGCAGCCCAGAGUCUGAAUCAGCUUGUGUGUUAGUGGAACGGUCUGGAAAGUCCGACGGUACAGGGUGAUAGUCCCGUACACCAAAAUGCACAGGUUGUGAACUCGAAGAGUAGGGCGGGACACGUGGUAUCCUGUCUGAAUAUGGGGGGACCAUCCUCCAAGGCUAAAUACUCCUGACUGACCGAUAGUGAACCAGUACCGUGAGGGAAAGGCGAAAAGAACCCCGGCGAGGGGAGUGAAAAAGAACCUGAAACCGUGUACGUACAAGCAGUGGGAGCACCUUCGGGUGUGACUGCGUACCUUUUGUAUAAUGGGUCAGCGACUUAUAUUCUGUAGCAAGGUUAACCGUAUAGGGGAGCCGCAGGGAAACCGAGUCUUAACUGGGCGUUAAGUUGCAGGGUAUAGACCCGAAACCCGGUGAUCUAGCCAUGGGCAGGUUGAAGGUUGGGUAACACUAACUGGAGGACCGAACCGACUAAUGUUGAAAAAUUAGCGGAUGACUUGUGGCUGGGGGUGAAAGGCCAAUCAAACCGGGAGAUAGCUGGUUCUCCCCGAAAGCUAUUUAGGUAGCGCCUCGUGAAUUCAUCUUCGGGGGUAGAGCACUGUUUCGGCUAGGGGGUCAUCCCGACUUACCAACCCGAUGCAAACUACGAAUACCGAAGAAUGUUAUCACGGGAGACACACGGCGGGUGCUAACGUCCGUCGUGAAGAGGGAAACAACCCAGACCGCCAGCUAAGGUCCCAAAGUCAUGGUUAAGUGGGAAACGAUGUGGGAAGGCACAGACAGCCAGGAUGUUGGCUUAGAAGCAGCCAUCAUUUAAAGAAAGCGUAAUAGCUCACUGGUCGAGUCGGCCUGCGCGGAAGAUGUAACGGGGCUAAACCAUGCACCGAAGCUGCGGCAGCGACACUAUGUGUUGUUGGGUAGGGGAGCGUUCUGUAAGCCUGCGAAGGUGUGCUGUGAGGCAUGCUGGAGGUAUCAGAAGUGCGAAUGCUGACAUAAGUAACGAUAAAGCGGGUGAAAAGCCCGCUCGCCGGAAGACCAAGGGUUCCUGUCCAACGUUAAUCGGGGCAGGGUGAGUCGACCCCUAAGGCGAGGCCGAAAGGCGUAGUCGAUGGGAAACAGGUUAAUAUUCCUGUACUUGGUGUUACUGCGAAGGGGGGACGGAGAAGGCUAUGUUAGCCGGGCGACGGUUGUCCCGGUUUAAGCAUGUAGGCUGGUUAUCCAGGCAAAUCCGGAUAAUCAAGGCUGAGGUGUGAUGACGAGGCACUACGGUGCUGAAGUAACAAAUGCCCUGCUUCCAGGAAAAGCCUCUAAGCAUCAGGUAACAUCAAAUCGUACCCCAAACCGACACAGGUGGUCAGGUAGAGAAUACCAAGGCGCUUGAGAGAACUCGGGUGAAGGAACUAGGCAAAAUGGUGCCGUAACUUCGGGAGAAGGCACGCUGGUGUGUAGGUGAAGUCCCUGCGGAUGGAGCUGAGACCAGUCGAAGAUACCAGCUGGCUGCAACUGUUUAUUAAAAACACAGCACUGUGCAAACACGAAAGUGGACGUAUACGGUGUGACGCCUGCCCGGUGCCGGAAGGUUAAUUGAUGGGGUUAUCCGUAAGGAGAAGCUCUUGAUCGAAGCCCCGGUAAACGGCGGCCGUAACUAUAACGGUCCUAAGGUAGCGAAAUUCCUUGUCGGGUAAGUUCCGACC
rnacentral:rRNA from 1 species